CUCCCGUUGAUCCUGCCAGACCCGACUGCUAUCAGAGUGGGACUAACCAUGCGAGUCAACGCACAAUGCGUGGCAUACGGCUCAGUAACACGUAGUCAACAUGCCCAGGGGACGUGGAUAACCUCGGGAAACUGAGGAUAAACCGCGAUAGGCCAAGGUUUCUGGAAUGGACACUGGCUGAAACCUACAUGGCCCCUGGAUUGGACUGCGGCCGAUCAGGCUGCUGGCGAGGUAAUGGCCCACCAAACCUGUAACCGGUACGGGCUUUGACAGAAGGAGCCCGGAGUUGGGCACUGAGACAAGGGCCCAGGCCCUAUGGGGCGCAGCUGGU
rnacentral:rRNA from 1 species